CCCUGUGGGUGCUCCGGAAAGACUUUCCUGGAAGACGUGUGCCCUUCUGCCUGAAGAGAACUGAGAAUGCCUUCAUCUUCCAACAAGGCCAAAGAACCUCCCCCCUUUCCAUCUUACAUAUUCAUUUUAAACAAAUCACAAGAAAACCAAUAUUUUGAUACACUGAACAUUUAUUGUCUUCCACAAGACAAAAUGAAGUUUCCCCUGCUGAUGAAAAGCCAUCAAGAUGACUGUCAAGGGGACGGGAUGCAAAAUUCCAGUGUACAUUAUACGCAACAAAUUACCUCCCUGACUACCCUGGAAGAUGACUGGAUCAAUCCCACUGCAACUAAAAAACCAGGAUUAUAAAAUAUUUACAGAAAGGAACAGUACAGAAAAUAAAAA